rnacentral:rRNA from 1 species
GACGGAGGGUGCAAGCGUUGUUCGGAAUCCCUGGGCGUAAAGCGCGUGUAGGCGGUCCGAUAAGUCGGGUGUGAAAGCCCGAGGCUCAACCUCGGAAGUGCAUUCGAAACUGUCGGGCUUGAGUACGGGAGAGGGAAGUGGAAUUCCUGGUGUAGAGGUGAAAUUCGUAGAUAUCAGGAGGAACACCGGUGGCGAAGGCGGCUUCCUGGACCGAUACUGACGCUGAGACGCGAAAGCGUGGGGAGCAAACAGG